rnacentral:lncRNA from 1 species
ACCGUGCGAGCACCUAUCAACACCUUGAUGAAAAUAACAAACCGAAAAUCUGAGAAACGCGAUUUGACCUUGGACGUGCCCCGCGUGCCAGUGCACUGGCUUUAGGGGUGCUGAAGAACUUGAUUUGGAUGCCGGCGGCGGCGACGACAGUGCGCCGGCGCACAUCUCUAUGGAGGUGGACGGCGACCCGUGGGCGACCGCCGCUGCCGCGGUUUGCUACAGGUGGCCAUGGCCACUAAUCUGUUGGAGGAGGCGCCCCCGGCACAGGUCCCAACCGCCGGAGACGCGGCAGAGACGGGGCAGUGGGCUGGCUUCCAGUCGCAAUACGACUCGGUCGUGACAGCGUCUCAGUGCACAGGAGCCGCGGCUGUGGACGAUUGUUGAGAGAUGGCGCGGGGCACCGAUAGAAGCUUGUCUGCUGGAGAUCAAAUCCUGUCUUAGUGCCGCGUUGCCCCGUGUCCGUGAUGAUCUUUUAAGGCCGAGCUAGCUACACUAAGCGUGACCGUCCAGGAAACUAGAAAGCACCCACGUGUACUGCGUGUUCGUGCUCACUGGAUUCCCUUGAUACCGGCUUCUACGAUUAUCCAUAUUUUCCUUGAGCUACCGUAUGCCCACGCAAGCGUGAUAACGAGCGAGUACCAUGCCGAUAAUACGAUAUGUAUGAACAAGAAUAUCUUGUGAUUGAAAUUGCACAGCCAUGCACUACCGAAGUUCAUCGCUGAAAUUGCAUCUAGACCUGUGUAAUUUCUUACUAACAGUAAGAAGCUCGACAGUAGUUCCGGUAGCAGACAGUAUGUAGACUACUUGUGUCUUGUAGACAGUAGAGCUCGUCUUGACGGCGAAAUGUCAUUGUCCAAUUUUUCACUGUCCGGCGACCGCGGGAUGACAUUAACACUGUAUGUCACGCCGUGCACAUUAUGAGCUGACCUUUCCGUGACCUCUCACUGGUAGCCCGCUACAUAGCCAUGAGGGGUCGUUGUGUCUGUCGUUAGGCGUCCCGGCCGGUCCGCCGGUCUCCGGCUGUCUGGGUGACGAACGGCGUCGGUGGCGACCCCGCUCAGGACGCACCAGCCGCUGGCUCUCCAGCAGACGGCGCACGACCUGGGUGUUACCCGUUACCAUUAUCCAUUAUCCAUUAGCAAUCCACAUGUGCCUAUGUCUGUUUUCGUUGUGAAUAAAUGUUUGCCUUGACAAGCGA